UCCGCCUCUGAGCUCUGAAUGCACAUGCGCGGCAAGAGGCACGCGUGCGCAUUUAAACCGCCCGUAGGAAAGCAUUACUCAAUGCUUUCCUAUGGACGUUCAGUGUCUUCUCACUGUGAUUUUCACAGUGAGAAUCGCGGAAGCUCCUCUAGCAGCUGUCAAUGAGACAGCCACCAGAGGCUAGAUUAACCCUCAGUGAAACAUAGC